UAGGGUAAGAUUAGGGUUGAUUAAGGGUUAGGGGUAGGGUUAGAGGUAGGGUUAGGGGUAGGGUUAGAUGUAGGGGUAGGGGUAGGGUAGGGUUAGGGGUAGGGUUAGAGGAGGGUUAGUGUAGGGUUAAGGGUAGGGUUAGGUUAGGAGCAGGGUUAGGGUUAGGAGUAGGGUUAGGGGUAGGGUUAGGAAUAGGGUUAGGGCUACCCUAAUCCUACCCAUAAACCUACUCCAACCACUAACCCUACCCCAACCCCAAACCCUGCCCCCACCCCCACCCCAACCACUAACCCUACCCCAACCCUUAACCCUACCCCUAAACCUAACCCUACCUCUAUCCCAACCACUAACCCUACCCCAACCCCUAACCCCAACCCUCUCCUGUUUUGCCACUUUUCAGAA